UUUCCCAGAAUAAAGAUGAAUAUGGCUUUUGAUGGUGAUAUAGUGGCAGUUGAGCUUUUGCCUCAAGAACAAUGGCACGAGGAAAAGUCUUGGCAUUAGCUGAUGGAGCUUGCAGGAUUCACAUUGCACCGGCUUUGAAAAAUAUUAGUAUCACUUCACAAACUCCAUGAAGAAAACCUUCAAUGACCAUGAUGCUGCAUUGAGUAAGUACUUGCUCUUUAUCAUCUCAUGUUGUUCUGAUUCUUGAUAUCAGUAUAUCAUGUAUGCUAUUCCUUUUUUGCUCUGUUCCUAUUCAUUUAUUUGUUUAAUGAGAUUCUCUUGAUGGUUCUUUAAUAAAGGUAACAGAGAGCUCAAGUUAGUUCUUUCUCUUUCAGAUUGGAUAUGCACUGUCGAUGUGAUAGAAAUUUAGCACUUCACUGGUUAUAUUUUGUAUAACAAUGGAUAUAUUUCACUAUUAUGUAGCCAUCCUAUAAUUAUUUUCUCUUGUAGUCAAAACUUAUGCAAUAACUGUCGCCAUUCUUUUUGUUGUUUAACUCCUUAGAUCCCUAAGGGAAGUGGACGGUUUACUUACACAAAUCCAAAGAAUAGAGACUUUGUAGAGUCGCAGAAUCUGCUUGUUGAAUAAGUUAUGACCCUCUUUAGAUCAUUCUGUAAUAUUCCAGUGGUUAAUGACGUCAUAACUCCUGCAAAAGUAAUAACAAUCAAAGACCCUUUUUACAUGGUUGAUACUUUUAGCUUAUAACUAAACAGAACCGGCAAAAGGUGCAACAGUCAAGAUAUAAAAGAAUGGCAGAAAAUAUCGUUUAUUUAUAAAAUUCUUGAUCUUAACAUCCUCCCUCUAGACCAUUUUCUUUGGUUUCCCCGAACUAUUAGUCUAUGUGUAAGGCCGAACAGGUUCAUCAGGUUUUAUGUAUGUGCAUUUAUCGGACACUUUGUGCAAUCUUGGCUUAAAAUUACAUAAUAUUGAAGUGUUCUUUGGAUGCUCAGUUCUCAAGCAUAUGGUUCUGCAGGUUCAGUUUAUGGAAUUUAUUUUUAUAAUUUAGUAUUACCAUCAUAUUUUACAAGUCCGGAUACGUUAUUAUGGUUUUCCUUUUCUUUUUUAGAAAAAAAUCGACUUACUGAUCUAUAGAUUGCUUUUUACGACUUGUUUUGUAUGAAGGCAACUACACAAGAUUAGAAAUGACACUACAAGUGACCUACAAAUACAUUGAUUUAUAUGCGUUGUUAUGGUGAUCGAAACAUUUUAAAGGAAACAAGAUGAGACUUAAUAUUACAUUAAGAUUGGUUCAAAAAUGUAUAAUUGUUUACAUAGUCUCUUCCUCUAUUUAAAAUUUGGUAGACUUCUUAUAUAGAAAAUGUCUCAUAGAAAUUCUAGAGAUGCUAAGAUUUGGCAGAUAUUGUCAGAUUACUCAAUUAGAGCGAGCUAAAUUAGACUUGACUAAUGCCUAAGUAUUUCAUUAUCUCUGUUUUGUAAUAUAUUUAUUGCAUUUUGUCAGAUCCUAUUGUGAUAAUGAGGAGGAAUUAUUUCUUAAGAAUUGUGUAUCAUUUUUAUUUUUGUGUGAUAACAUUACUGUAUGGUCCUAAGGAAUACAAAUAUUAUGCUUCAAAACAAUUAAUGUGUAACAUUAUAAUGCCAUGGUAGAAGGCUAAUGAGCUUGAGGUAUUGUAAAAGAGUAUUUUAAAAGUAUGGUAUGUAUAUCGUGAGAAUAUAGCUAUCUAUAGAGGUUUUGUGGCCUUACAAUAGAGAUCUAGAAACACAUUUACACACAGAUCAUUGGUGUUGGAGGUAUGUUAGGUUGUGCAGAGCUAAAAUUGGAGGUAUGUUAGGAUCUCUCUUUUGUUAGGUCUUCUCUUCAAUGUUGUAGAACAUUUAUAUAAAUAUAAGGUUCAAUUGUAAUGGUUUUGAUACAUUAGUCAAUUUUAUUGUUUCUUGUUCCAUUUUGAAAUAAAUAGUGUCAACUAUAAAAGUCAGCAUAAGAGUGUUAUAGUUUUAUUUCUCUAUAAUUACUAUACCACUACAGUCUAUAGAGUCUUUAAGUUUCUUUGCUUGAAUGUUUCUCUAUACGAAAAAUGUACCAAAAUAAUAAACAUUUUUACUUUGUCAUAAAAAAUAAUAAACAUUUUUACUUUUAUAAGAAUACUGAUGUCUCACCCUAGAAACACGACGUCUCCAAGAUAAUUUUUUGUCUCUUUGA